GGAGCUUGCUUCUCUGGAUGAGUUGCGAACGGGUGAGUAACGCGUAGGUAACCUGCCUGGUAGCGGGGGAUAACUAUUGGAAACGAUAGCUAAUACCGCAUAAGAGCAGUUGUUGCAUGACAGCUGUUUAAAAGGUGCAAUUGCACCACUACCAGAUGGACCUGCGUUGUAUUAGCUAGUUGGUGAGGUAACGGCUCACCAAGGCGACGAUACAUAGCCGACCUGAGAGGGUGAUCGGCCACACUGGGACUGAGACACGGCCCAGACUCCUACGGGAGGCAGCAGUAGGGAAUCUUCGGCAAUGGGGGCAACCCUGACCGAGCAACGCCGCGUGAGUGAAGAAGGUUUUCGGAUCGUAAAGCUCUGUUGUAAGAGAAGAACGAGUGUGAGAGUGGAAAGUUCACACUGUGACGGUAUCUUACCAGAAAGGGACGGCUAACUACGUGCCAGCAGCCGCGGUAAUACGUAGGUCCCGAGCGUUAUCCGGAUUUAUUGGGCGUAAAGCGAGCGCAGGCGGUUAGAUAAGUCUGAAGUUAAAGGCUGUGGCUUAACCAUAGUACGCUUUGGAAACUGUUUAACUUGAGUGCAAGAGGGGAGAGUGGAAUUCCAUGUGUAGCGGUGAAAUGCGUAGAUAUAUGGAGGAAC
rnacentral:rRNA from 1 species